GCGAUGAUAUCUCUUCACUAGUAGAAAAAAUGACAAAGGCACCCCACCUUUGGCACCGGUUUUUGAAAACCGGUGGUUAAAAAAACGUGCGGGAUUUCAAAACAAGAUUUUGGCACCAGUUCCAGCCAAACUGAUGGCAAAUUAUCUUUUUGGCACCAGUUCAAACCGGUGCCAAAUAAAAAAAAAAUAAAAAAAAAGGGAGAAAGGGAUUUGGCCACCAGUUCGAUUGUAAAAUAAAAAAAACUCGGAAUUACUCAUCUUUCUUUCUCUUGCUUUCAUUUCCUCGAUCUUUCCUCCUCUCUCAUCUGAUCUGCCUCUCUCUCUCCUCCAUUGAAGCAUACUCGAAUUUCUCCAUUGAAGGGGCUUCUUGAACCCUCGAUCGAAAGGGGUUUCAAAAGUGCUCUCUAAAACUUGCAGUGGCUUCUGACCUUUGUCUCCUCCAAUGGUGGUACCAUUUUUUUUAGAUCAUCUUCAUUGUCUAAGGUUUAGUCUUACAAUUUUGUUAAUUUGGUAUGCUACUCUGUAUUCCAUUUUCAUUAAUUCAAUGGCGAUUCUUCAAUUUUGCCUCAAUUUGUGGGUGUCUUUUGUGAAUCCUUGACGAAGACGACGAUGCCUUCAUUCUCCUGGUAAAGACACUUAUGAAGGAUCAUUUAAAUGGAAAAGCAGAAGGAUCAAGUGAAAAGUCGUCUCAGCCCUAGUGCAUCAGUUGAACCAAACUCACGUAACUUUGAUGAUUUAGUGUUGAAAUUCCUGAACAGCAAAGAUGUUUGGGCUGUAGAGUUCUUUGCACCUUGUCCCACCGUAGAAUGAGUCAUCCCAACAUCAUAAAGCUGAAAGAAGUACGAGAAAAUAAUGAGUUGUUUUUUAUAUUUGAAUAUAUGGGUGCUGCUGUGCUUGUGCCCUGCGUGGGGUUUAGUGCUGGGCUUUUGAAGCUGCAGCUGCUGUUGUUGGGCUGCCUGUUGCUGGGGUGUUGCUGUUUUUCUUUUGGUGUAGCUACUGCUGGUGCCUAAUGUUUUCUGCAGGUUGGUCUGUUGCCACCUGUUGACCUGUUUUGCUGGGGGCUGCUGCCACCUGCUGCAGUGCUGAUGUGUUGCCGAGUUGCCGUAUGUGUUCAGCAUUCAACUGAAAUCUCAAGUGUUUUUUUUUUUAGUUUUUUAAAGUGUAAUAUUACAAGUUAUUGAAGAAAAUAUGUGUUUAUGUAUAUUAUGAUUAUAUAUAAGUAUUUGGUACAAUUUAAGUGAAAAAAUGCAAAAUUUUUUUUUUUAUUUUUUUUGGGCAUUUUUGGCGCCGGUUUUGGAAAAGAACCAGUGCUAAAAGUUUU